rnacentral:rRNA from 1 species
UACGUAGGGGGCAAGCGUUGUCCGGAUUUAUUGGGCGUAAAGAGCGUGUAGGCGGCCAUUCAGGUCAGCUGUGAAAACUCGAGGCUCAACCUCGAGACGUCGGUUGAAACCGUUUGGCUAGAGUCCGGAAGAGGAGAGUGGAAUUCCCGGUGCAGCGGUGAAAUGCGCAGAUAUCAGGAGGAACACCGGUGGCGAAGGCGGGUCUCUGGGCCGAUACUGACGCUGAGGAGCGAAAGCGUGGGGAGCGAACAGG